rnacentral:lncRNA from 13 species
GUUUGCAAAAGCCCUGCAGGUGCUUCUGAUGCAUGCUUAAGUUUGAGGCUUGCCGGCUAGCUCAUCUCUAACCUCCUCUCCAGCUGAGAUCAGAAUUCUACACACCAAGAACAGUGACACCUAGAAUGCUCAAUCUAAUAUGUACACACACACACACACACACACACACACAUAUAUAUAAAAUACAUAUAUACAUACACACACACACAUAAAAUAUACAUAUGUGUGUGUGUGUGUGUAUGUAUAUAUGAUGAUCUGCUUAUACCCUGACAGAUUAGGUUAGGUAUUCAAGACCCCCCUCACUUCCUCUGUCCUGGUCACAAGGGAACUCUGCAUCCAGUGAGCAUGAAAUAGAGCCCUGACCUUAUCCCAGGCACUGUAUAUAUGUGAAGUUAUGGGGAGGGCAGGUGGGAAUUCACAGGUUAAAAAGAAAACUAAACCAGUCUACUAGAGGAUGAUAAAAGUUGUCACAGAGUGAGGGCAGCAGGGCACAGCUAGGGGAAAGAGCAGUGAUUCUACCUCAUAUAGGAAGUUAGACAAACAUUCAGCAGAAUUUACUAAAAAUCACUGUACACUGAAAAUGGCUGAAUUUGAUGGUAUGAAAUUAUACUUCAUACCAAUGUGAAAUUGAAAAAUUCACAUUGGAGUGUUGCCGGAAUCCGUAGGCCAGCAGAUGCACAGAUAGGAGACACUAGGAGGAAAGGUCCCGAGAUUAAAACAUAUGAAGUGAAUGCCAAGCAGUGAGCAGCUCCCCUUGGGUCCUGAGAGUGUGAGUGAUGUGAUGAAGACGUAGGAGCAGCAAGCCAGAGGCGGGACAGUCUGGCCGCAAUACUCAGGCAGAGGCCGGCAGAAGGAAGUGUAUAAGGCAGGAGCCAGCUGGGCACAGUGGCUCACACCUAUAAUCUCAGUGCUUUGGGAGGCCAAGAGAGCCUCAUUAGAGCCCAGGAGUUCUGGGCUGCAGUGUGCUUCACUGUGAAACAGGUGAUCGUAACACACAUCCCAGCUUCCUCGUGGGUAUGGCUCUAAGGAAAAAGAAAAAAAUCAAAAGCCAUAAUGCAUGUGAAAGA